GUGAAGAACGCAGCGAAAUGCGAUAAGUAAUGUGAAUUGCAGAAUUCAGUGAAUCAUCGAAUCUUUGAACGCACAUUGCGCCCCCUGGUAUUCCGGGGGGCAUGCCUGUUCGAGCGUCAUUUCACCACUCAAGCCUCGCUUGGUAUUGGGCAUCGCGGUCCGCCGCGCGCCUCAAAUCGACCGGCUGGGUCUUCUGUCCCCUAAGCGUUGUGGAAACUAUUCGCUAAAGGGUGUUCGGGAGGCUACGCCGUAAAACAACCCCAUUUCUAAGGUUGACCUCGGAUCAGGUAGGGAUACCCGCUGAACUUAAGCAUAUCAAUAAGCGGAGGA
rnacentral:misc_RNA from 1 species